rnacentral:tRNA from 1 species
GAAGACUUAGGAUAGACAUUUAGACCGAGGGCCUUCAAAGCCCUAAGCAGAAGUUAAAGCCUUCUAGUCCUCG